AUACUUGAUUGAUUGAUGGGGCUUAACGUCCUUGUUCCGGUUAUAACCGAGCCUAGGACUGCCCAGUAUACGAUACACCACCCUGAAUUUAUCCCACUUUUUAACAAUACAAAACUAUAAGGACCAAUCACGACAGAGGAUACACAGGCACGACAGACACUGACGAAAAAGCAAGCGACUACGAACAAUGCACGACAAAAACAUCGACCAGAGACAGCACACGUGAACAGAGGACUAGCAAAGGUCAAGGUGACACAGGUACACAUAGUACAGACACAACAUAUAGACAUGGCAUAUAGUUAGCGUUAAGCUUAACCCUGUCAGCUUAACCUAUCAGUACAUAUACGAUAACAUCCCCCGCUACACCUGUUCGCCGUGUUUAUGGCGCAAGAUAAAUUUGUGGAAGAAGCCCAGACAUCGGAUUGGGCUUCACAUGACGGGCACAUGAUCGCCAGAUGUUGAUAUGGGUCAACCUGAAUAGACAACGGGUCUUCCGUGAUGCACUGUCAGGGCCGACCAGAGGUUGAGGUCAACUGCCAGGAAGACAAGUAUAGGGCCAUUUAAUGGUUCAGAAGGAGAAGUGGUUGCUAUCCACUGCACAUAUCCUCGCCAGUAGAGGACCAUUAUUGUGAUCCGUUUGCCGGAUGCUGCGGAUGCUGUUUAUUGUUUUUUUUCCUGUUCUGUUUCACCGUGAAACAUGGAAUGAUUUGCGUGAUUGACAUUACCGAGGUGAACUGAUCGUGACACCAAUCGUCACAAGCACUUGGAAAAGUGAACGACAUUCCUGUCGUGUGGAGAGACUGUAGACUCAGUAAUAUAUGAAUAAAUGUAGUAUAGUAGAGAGGGUGGUUGGGAGAGUGAAUGAGUUGGUAUUUUUUUGUGAUUCUAUGUAAAUAAAUUUGUAUAUAUGAAAUUGA